GGCCCCGGCGGGAGGCGGUGCUGGGCAGGACGGGCAGACCGGCGGCGUGAGUGACUGCGGCCGGCCUGCAGGCUCUUCCCUUAGAGCCGCCCUUGUUAUCGCCCAAGGUUGCUCGCGUUAGCGUCUAGAUUGCCUUGUGCUGCUUCCCACAGAAAUUGCUCCAGGCCGUGAUUUACAGUAAGAAACAAACGGGAAUGAACUGAAUACGAACUUCUGCUUAGAAGUCUUGCUCUAAGCAUCUCGUUGGCCUGAGGCCAAGGGAGAACACGAUGGGUACCAAUACAAAACCAGGUGUUACCUUGUCCCUGUGUGCAAGGUGCUACUUUUGCAUUUAAAAGCUUGAAAGUACAGCGUGGUUCUCAUGCGUCAUAGCAACCUCAGACAGGACACGGGUGUUUAUCACCUCUGUUAUCAGAGUGCACCAGAGUCCAGUCACAGACUAGGAUGCCAUUUUGCAGGAUGCUGUGCAAACAGAACAAAGAGCACAUGUCCUAAGAACAUAACAAAGACAGCAGUUAGACACAGGUAGAGAGCAGAAUGCAAGCAGACAAUGAAAUUAUACCGGUCAGCAUCUCAGUGGCCAAAGCUAUUACGGAUGCAUUGCCAAGAAAUGAUGGGAUUUCGAGAACAAAAUAUGCCCAAGGGGAGUUUUACUGAAGUGUGUGAAGACAAGACGUGUUUAAAAAUUAAGCAAAUGGACAACAGAGAAAGUUUCUGAUUCUGAAGGCAAAGUUGUCAAGACAAAUUUCAGCUAGAAAUACUGGGAUAGAGAAUGAAAAUGAAUGCUGUGUGUCAGCAACUGGAAACCUGUGUAGGAUUUACUUGUGUCUGGCCAUUUAUCCUGAAUUCCUUCUGCAUUCACAUCCAGCUUCCACUAUUGCCUUUUUCCUCACCUUAUAGUUCUCUUUCUGUAUUUGCCUCACCUUUCUCUUUCUUUCUCUAUUGAAAUUUCUUUCUUCCUUAUCUCUUUAUGCUUCUCAUGCAGUAAAUUAUGAAUGAAAUGUAUGGAUUGCACAUCUGACAGUGAGGCAUGCCACACACAGACAGCAGGCCUGGGUUCAUUUGCAUUAAGUUAGACAUCUACAGAGACUAGGAGCGCAGACCCAGCUCUCAGCAGGAGAAACAAACUCAUGCUGAAGGUGAUUGAUCUGAUGCUAAGACAAGAAUACAAUUCUCUCACUUAUGGGGACUAUUUCUUUCUAUUGACUAUAAAGAGUGCUUUGCACCAGUAGUCCAGAAGUGGAUGUUUAAAAUCACAGAAUUACAUGAGGUGUCCCACUUGUGCUUGAACCUGACAUUAUGUAGAAAUCUCUUGAUGGGAAGCAGUGGAGAAACCUGUCUCCUUGUGCCCUUUUCCACAGCACACACUUUCUACUGUGUAAACAAACAUUAUUUCCCCACUUUUGGAAAGUAAUUAUUUUGAAACUAUUGCUUUCUCUUGACCUUUCCCCUGUCACAGCCUACUUUCUCCGUACCGACUGCGCUAAACAGGACUUCCAGUGAUGGUUACAAAGGGCCGAGAUAUGUUGUAAUCCCUCAGGAACCAUUCUUGGAGAGGACCGUUUCUAAUCAGGAGGAGGAAAUGCAACUGCCAGCCAUAAAUGUUAUCCCUAACAAAAGAGUAAUCUUUCUGGCUGUUGUGUUCCAGACCUUCUGCUUCAAGGUCA